rnacentral:rRNA from 1 species
CCUACGGGUGGCAGCAGUGGGGAAUAUUGCACAAUGGGCGCAAGCCUGAUGCAGCCAUGCCGCGUGUGUGAAGAAGGCCUUCGGGUUGUAAAGCACUGUCAGCGGGGAGGAAGGCGGUGAGGUUAAUAACCUCAUCGAUUGACGUUACCCGCAGAAGAAGCACCGGCUAACUCCGUGCCAGCAGCCGCGGUAAUACGGAGGGUGCAAGCGUUAAUCGGAAUUACUGGGCGUAAAGCGCACGCAGGCGGUCUGUCAAGUCGGAUGUGAAAUCCCCGGGCUCAACCUGGGAACUGCAUUCGAAACUGGCAGGCUAGAGUCUUGUAGAGGGGGGUAGAAUUCCAGGUGUAGCGGUGAAAUGCGUAGAGAUCUGGAGGAAUACCGGUGGCGAAGGCGGCCCCCUGGACAAAGACUGACGCUCAGGUGCGAAAGCGUGGGGAGCAAACAGGAUUAGAUACCCUAGUAGUC